rnacentral:misc_RNA from 1 species
GAAAUGCGAUAAGUAGUGUGAAUUGCAGAAUUCAGUGAAUCAUCGAAUCUUUGAACGCACAUUGCGCCCCUUGGUAUUCCAUGGGGCAUGCCUGUUCGAGCGUCAUUUGUACCCUCAAGCUCUGCUUGGUGUUGGGUGUUUGUCCCGUCUCCGCGCGUGGACUCGCCCCAAAGUGAUUGGCAGCCGGCGUACUGGUCCCGGAGCGCAGCACAUGUCGCGCAAACGAGUGCCUUGGUACGGCGGCGUCCAUAAGCCCCUCUCUCACGCUCUUGACCUCGGAUCAGGUAGGGAUACCCGCCGAACUUAAGC